AUUGAACGCUGGCGGCAUGCUUUACACAUGCAAGUCGAACGGUAACAGGCCGCAAGGUGCUGACGAGUGGCGAACGGGUGAGUAAUGCAUCGGAACGUGCCCAGUCGUGGGGGAUAACGCAGCGAAAGCUGCGCUAAUACCGCAUACGAUCUAUGGAUGAAAGCGGGGGACCGUAAGGCCUCGCGCGAUUGGAGCGGCCGGUGUCAGAUUAGGUAGUUGGUGGGGUAAAGGCUCACCAAGCCAACGAUCUGUAGCUGGUCGGAGAGGACGGCCAGCCACACUGGGACUGAGACACGGCCCAGACUCCUACGGGAGGCAGCAGUGGGGAAUUUUGGACAAUGGGCGCAAGCCUGAUCCAGCAAUGCCGCGUGCAGGAAGAAGGCCUUCGGGUUGUAAACUGCUUUUGUACGGAACGAAACGGUCCUGGUUAAUACCCGGGGCUAAUGACGGUACCGUAAGAAUAAGCACCGGCUAACUACGUGCCAGCAGCCGCCGUAAUAC
rnacentral:rRNA from 1 species